CUUGCCCCUAGGGGCAUUGCAGGUGUGGCUGCUGUAUCAUACAUGAGUCAGUAGGUGAAGAGAGGAGAGAGGCUAGGUCUACAUUCAGUGUUCUGACCGUGAACAUCUGAAUAAUUGAUAGCCUAACAUU